rnacentral:rRNA from 1 species
AUUGAACGCUGGCGGCAUGCCUUACACAUGCAAGUCGAACGGCAGCAUGGAGAGCUUGCUCUCUGAUGGCGAGUGGCGAACGGGUGAGUAAUGCAUCGGAACGUACCGUGUAAUGGGGGAUAACGUAGCGAAAGUUACGCUAAUACCGCAUACGACCUGAGGGUGAAAGCAGAGGAUCGCAAGACCUUGCGUUAUACGAGCGGCCGAUGUCAGAUUAGCUAGUUGGUGAGGUAAAGGCUCACCAAGGCGACGAUCUGUAGCGGGUCUGAGAGGAUGAUCCGCCACACGGGGACGGAGACACGGCCCAGACUCCUACGGGAGGCAGCAGUGGGGAAUUUUGGACAAUGGGGGCAACCCUGAUCCAGCCAUGCCGCGUGAGUGAAGAAGGCCUUCGGGUUGUAAAGCUCUUUCGGCCGGGAAGAAAUCGCACAGGCUAAUACUCUGUGUGGAUGACGGUACCGGCAUAAGAAGCACCGGCUAACUACGUGCCAGCCGCCGCCGUAA